GCCGGAGUGGUGAAACUGGUAGACGCACCGGACUCAAAAUCCGGCGCCCGCGAGGGCGUGUCGGUUCGAUUCCGACCUCCGGCACCA
rnacentral:tRNA from 1 species